rnacentral:lncRNA from 12 species
AGGAGGAAGCGGUUGGCUUGCUCUGACCUGGCUAGCUCCCUCCCCCCAAGACACACACAGGCAGAUCUGGAACGCCACGGAGAAGGAAGGCCAGUCUGUGUCCCCGAGUCCUGCCCAGGGCAGUUGGGAGCCACGACGGAGCCCACGGAGCCCGGGCACUGGGGUCGGUGCUUGCCCCCGCCGCAGGCACCCAGGAAGUCCACAGGCCCGGGACUGAGCGUCCCCAGGAAAACUCUGGAAACACAGCCUGCCAAAGACCUCUCGCGUCCUGGUUUCCUCUUGGGGCAAGAAAGGAAGGAAAGGAAGGAGAAAGGAAGGAGACAGGAGAAACGAAAGCGAAAUGAUGGAGGGAAGGAGGGAAGGAAAGAAACCUGGUGCAAGUGUGAAAUCAAAAUAAUAGACUCAGGAUGGCUGGUGCUCCUGGCACCCCAGGGACUUUGUAAAGGAACCUCCUGGGGACGCCCGACUGCUGACAGACUGGUUCCCCGCAGACCUGAGCGCAGGGGACAGAGCCCCUAGAGACCCGUGGGAAGUGCCAGGAAGGACUUUGAUUCAAGUCUCUAAGAAAAAGGCUUCAUGGCUUAGUAGGUGUGUGGCCGAGGUGGCCGUGGCUGAGCGUGGGCGUGGCCGGGGUGCUGCUUCCCUGGUCGGAGACUCGACCCGGGGCAUAG